AGUGAACGCUGGCGGCAGGCCUAACACAUGCAAGUCGAGCGGCAGCGCGGGGACAACCCUGGCGGCGAGUGGCGGACGGGUGAGGAAUUCGUCGGAAGCUGCCUUUUUGUUGGGGAUAAGGUAAGUAAACUUACGCUAAUAUCGCAUCCGUCCUACUGUUGAAAGGGGGGGUCCAAAAGGCCACAAGCGGAAAGAUGAGCCUACGACAGAUUAGCUAGUUGGAGUGGUAAAGGCCCACCAAGGCGACGAUCGGUAGCUGGUCUGAGAGGAUGAUCAGCCACACUGGGACUGAGACACGGCCCAGACUCCUACGGGAGGCAGCAGUGGGGAAUAUUGGACAAUGGGCGCAAGCCUGAUCCAGCCAUGCCGCGUGAGUGAAGAAGGCCUUCGGGUUGUAAAGCACUUUUGUCAGGAAAGAAAUCCCUGGUGCUAAUACCUUCGGGGGAUGACGGUACCGGAAGAAUAAGCACCGGCUAACUUCGUG
rnacentral:rRNA from 1 species